GAUGAAGAACGCAGCGAAAUGCGAUAAGUAAUGUGAAUUGCAGAAUUCAGUGAAUCAUCGAAUCUUUGAACGCACAUUGCGCCCGUCAGUAUUCUGGCGGGCAUGCCUGUUCGAGCGUCAUUACGCCCCUCAAGUCCCCUGUGGACUUGGUGUUGGGGAUCGGCGAGGCUGGUUUUCCAGCACAGCCGUCCCUUAAAUUAAUUGGCGGUCUCGCCGUGGCCCUCCCCUGCGCAGUAGUAAAACACUCGCAACAGGAGCCCGGCGCGGUCCACUGCCGUAAAACCCCCCAACUUUUUAUAGUUGACCUCGAAUCAGGUAGGACUACCCGCUGAACUUAAGCAUAUCAAUAAGCGGAGGA
rnacentral:misc_RNA from 1 species